rnacentral:rRNA from 1 species
GCCCAGCCGUAAACAAUUAACUUACACUAAUAAACGCCAGGGAACUACGAGCUAUGCUUAAAACCCAAAGGACUUGACGGUGUCCCAUACCAACUAGAGGAGCCUGUUCUAUAAUCGAUGAUCCCCGCUAUACCUAACCAUCCCUUGCUUUAUCAGCCUGUAUACCUCCGUCAUAAGCCUACCAUGUGAACGUCAACAGUGGGCCCAAUGGUUUGUAUAACCAAAAUGCCAGGUCAAGGUGCAGCUCACGGAAUGGUAAGUAAUGGGCUACAAUUUCUAAUCUAGAACAAACGGAAAGCUAUGUGAAAUCACAGCCUAAAGGUGGAUUUAGUAGUAAAAAGAAAAUAGAGUGUUCUUUUUAACCCGGCCCUGGGACACGUACACACCGCCCGUCACCCUNUGCAGUCAA